rnacentral:rRNA from 1 species
AUGCACGCUGGCGGCGUGCCUAAUACAUGCAAGUCGAGCGAACAGACGAGGAGCUUGCUCCUCUGACGUUAGCGGCGGACGGGUGAGUAACACGUGGAUAACCUACCUAUAAGACUGGGAUAACUUCGGGAAACCGGAGCUAAUACCGGAUAAUAUAUUGAACCGCAUGGUUCAAUAGUGAAAGACGGUUUUGCUGUCACUUAUAGAUGGAUCCGCGCCGCAUUAGCUAGUUGGUAAGGUAACGGCUUACCAAGGCAACGAUGCGUAGCCGACCUGAGAGGGUGAUCGGCCACACUGGAACUGAGACACGGUCCAGACUCCUACGGGAGGCAGCAGUAGGGAAUCUUCCGCAAUGGGCGAAAGCCUGACGGAGCAACGCCGCGUGAGUGAUGAAGGUCUUCGGAUCGUAAAACUCUGUUAUUAGGGAAGAACAAAUGUGUAAGUAACUAUGCACGUCUUGACGGUACCUAAUCAGAAAGCCACGGCUAACUACG